UACGGGGGAGCAAGCGUUGUUCGGAUUUACUGGGCGUAAAGGGCGCGUAGGCGGUCAGCACAAGUCAGUUGUGAAAUCUCCGGGCUUAACUCGGAAAGGUCAACUGAUACUGUGCGACUAGAGUGCGGAAGGGGCAACUGGAAUUCUCGGUGUAGCGGUGAAAUGCGUAGAUAUCGGGAAGAACACCCGUGGCGAAGGCGGCUCUCUGGGACGGUACUGACGCUGAGACGCGAAAGCGUGGGGAGCGAACAGG
rnacentral:rRNA from 1 species